rnacentral:rRNA from 1 species
AGAGUUUGAUCCUGGCUCAGGACGAACGCUGGCGGCGUGCCUAAUACAUGCAAGUAGAGCGAAGCUAUGAGAUGGAAGCCUUCGGGUGGAAGACUGAUAGACUGAGUGGCGGACGGGUGAGUAACGCGUGGGCAACCUGCCCCAUACCGGGGGAUAGCAGUUGGAAACGACUGGUAAAACCGCAUAAGCGCACGGUAAGGCAUCUUACAGUGUGAAAAACUCCGGUGGUAUGGGAUGGGCCCGCGUCUGAUUAGCCAGUUGGUGAGGUAACGGCUCACCAAAGCGACGAUCAGUAGCCGGCCUGAGAGGGCGGACGGCCACAUUGGGACUGAGACACGGCCCAGACUCCUACGGGAGGCAGCAGUGGAGGAUAUUGCACAAUGGAGGAAACUCUGAUGCAGCGACGCCGCGUGAGUGAAGAAGUAUUUCGGUAUGUAAAGCUCUAUCAGCAGGGAAGAAAGGCUCGCAAGAGAGAUGACGGUACCUGAGUAAGAAGCUCCGGCUAAUACGUGCCAGCAGCCGCGGU